rnacentral:rRNA from 1 species
CAAUAGCGUAUAUUAAUGUUGUUGCAGUUAAAAAGCUCGUAGUUGGAUUUCUGGUGGGAGCGGCCGGUCCGCCGUAAGGUGUGUACUUGGUUGUCUCCUGUCAUCCUUGUGGGAACUGCUCUGGCAUUAAGUUGUCGGGGUUAGGGAACACAUCGUUUACUGUGAAAAAAUUAGAGUGUUUAAAGCAGGCUUAUGCCGUUGAAUACAUUAGCAUGGAAUAAUAAGAUAGGACUUUGGCGUCUAUUUUGUUGGUUUGCACACCAAGGUAAUGAUUAAUAGGGAUAGUUGGGGGUAUUCGUAUUUAAUUGUCAGAGGUGAAGUUCUUGGAUUUAUGAAAGACGAACUUCUGCGAGAGCAUUUACCAAAGAUGUUUUCAUUAA